AAUCCAAAAUGGCGGAUCUGUUAGUGUUCACUGUGAAAGCCUUGGUGUAAUUAAAACUAUUAAGGCACGCGGUGAAUGCCAAUAGGUCGUCAAUAUCUUCU
rnacentral:pre_miRNA from 1 species